GUAGGUGGAGGCCGGAGCCUCGGAGCUUCCGUCGGAUGCGCGCUGGGGGGACGAGGGACCUCACUGGCCGGACCCUGACCGGACGCCCUCCCGCCUCGCUCCCCAGGGUCGGUGUACCCCCAGGUCUUCAUCCCUCUGCUGGGUGCCGGGCUGGCGCUGGGACUGGGAGCCCUGGGCGUGGCCUGGUGGUUGCGCAGGUGAGCACGGGGGUGCGGCUUAGAGGGCGGGGCCUGCUUUGUUGGGGCGCUGUCGGAAGUGGGAAGGGCCGGACCCGAACCUCCUCUGAGAUACGAGAUCUAGACGUGGUCUUGGACGAGGCGAGAGGUCAGCCCUUGAGAGCGAGGUCGCAGGGUGUUGUGCGAAGCCCUUGCAGAAGGCGUGGAGCUAGAAGUUUGCAGCAGGAUGCGAGCGUGGGCCGCUUUGUCCCCCCCACAUAGCUCCAUUUGUGAAAGCGGAGUCCCAGAGGCCUGCAGAGGAGGAGGAGGAGGAACAGCAGGAGCAGGAGCAGCGGGAGAUUCCAGGGGACCUGGACCAGGAGGAGCCGAGCCUGCUGUAUGCAGAUCUGGACUACACGGCCCUCUGGGGGCCCCGCCGGCUGUCAUCCGUGGCCCCUACUGAUGCCUCCACGGUCUAUGCGGUUGUGGUUUGAAGGGAGUGCUCUCCAUUCCACUAGCUGCUUCCUGGCCUGGCACCUAGAAGAGGAGGUCCAGGGGCCAGGAGACCUGCGUUCCAGGCUCUCUCUGCCACAGCUCUUGCUCCUUCAGUUACUCCCCUUCCUUCUAUAGCUACCACGGUUCCUUCAUCACCAGUGUCCUCUCCAAGCCAGAUUGAGCCCUGUCUCCCAUCUGAGACAUCCAUAACUCCCACGUGUUUGCCCUGUCUCUUCAGAAUCAAGCUUUUCUUUUUCGGAUUUUUGAGACAGAGUCUCACUAUGUAGUUGAGACUGACCUGGAACUCACUAUGUAGCCCAGG